rnacentral:rRNA from 1 species
GAACUUUCCAGAGAUGGAUUGGUGCCUUCGGGAACUGUGAGACAGGUGCUGCAUGGCUGUCGUCAGCUCGUGUUGUGAAAUGUUGGGUUAAGUCCCGCAACGAGCGCAACCCUUAUCCUUUGUUGCCAGCGGUCCGGCCGGGAACUCAAAGGAGACUGCCAGUGAUAAACUGGAGGAAGGUGGGGAUGACGUCAAGUCAUCAUGGCCCUUACGACCAGGGCUACACACGUGCUACAAUGGCGCAUACAAAGAGAAGCGACCUCGCGAGAGCAAGCGGACCUCAUAAAGUGCGUCGUAGUCCGGAUUGGAGUCUGCAACUCGACUCCAUGAAGUCGGAAUCGCUAGUAAUCGUGGAUCAGAAUGCCACGGUGAAUACGUUCCCGGGCCUUGUACACACCGCCCGUCACACCAUGGGAGUGGGUUGCAAAAGAAGUAGGUAGCUUAACCUUCGGGAGGGCGCUUACCACUUUGUGAUUCAUGACUGGGGUGAAGUCGUAACAAGGUAACCGUAGGGGAACCUGCGGCUGGAUCACCUC